CCUGGUUGAUCCUGCCAGUAGUCAUAUGCUUGUCUCAAAGAUUAAGCCAUGCAUGUGUAAGUACAGGCCGACUUAAGGCGAAACCGCGGACGGCUCAUUAAAUCAGAUAUAACUCAUUGGAUCUCUGCUGAACCGCAUUACUUGGAUAACUGUGGUAAUUCUAGAGCUAAUACAUGCCUUUGUAGUCUCCGACCGCGAGGGAGGAGCGCUUUUAUUAGACCAAAACCCUCGGCAGCCGGUUCCCGCAAGGGGCCGGCCGCACACAUCUUGGUGAAUCAGAAUAACUUUUGCCGAGCGCACGACCCCUCCCGUAACCCGGGUUGGGUCGGCGCCGCGUCCUGCAGGCGUCUGCCUUAUCAGCUCUCGAUUGUAGGUUAAACGCCUACAAUGGCUAUCACGGGUAACGGGGAAUCAGGGUUCGAUUCCGGAGAGGGAGCCUGAGAAACGGCUACCACAUCUAAGGAAGGCAGCAGGCGCGCAAAUUACCCACUCCCGGCACGGGGAGGUAGUGACGAAAAAUACUGUUGCGAGCCCCGAACGGGGCCUCGCAAUUGGAAUGAGUACACUUUAAAUCCUUGUACGAGGAUCGAGUGGAGGGCAAGUCUGGUGCCAGCCGCCGCGGUAAUUCCAGCUCCACUAGCGUAUAUUAAAGUUGUUGCGGUUGAAACGCUCGUAGUUUGACUUCUGCUCAUGAAGGUUCGGCACUGCUGAGUCGGCAUCACCAUCAGUCCCCGCCACCACAAGGUCGAAUUCCAGGCCUCUAUCGUUGCCCUUGGGGAGAAGGAACCUGUUUGGUAGGCCUGUUGCACUCUCGAAUUUGGCAAGGCCAGCGCCGCCUGCCUCGGCUUCUGCAAACAGGUCCAUGGUAUGCUUGGCACGUCCGGGUACACGUCCCUUGUGGCCGGCACGUUUACUUUGAAAAAAUUAGAGUGCUCAGAGCAGGCUGGUUUUUGCUUACAGCCCGAAUGGUCGUGCAUGGAAUGAUGGAACAGGACCUCGGUUCUAUUUUGUCGGUUUUUCGGAACCCGAGGUAAUGAUUAAUAGAAGCAGACGGGGGCAUUCGUACUGCGACGCUAGAGGUGAAAUUCUUAGACCGUCGCAUGACGACCUACUGCGAAAGCAUUGAUCUUUAUGAGGCCAGGCAAAGAUACGAACUGUAGCCAAUCUCUCAGCACCUCCAUUCUCUACAUCAAUCCUAAAAGUGAACUCUUUGUGGUUAAGACGAGGCACAUAUGUGCUGAUUUCCACAUCUGGGAUUCCUUCAGCAUCAUCAACUGCGUUGAUAAGACUGUAUUCGAAAUCUUCAAAGUAGGUCUCCAGUUCACCUACAACGGCUAGCUCUGUGACAGACACGCCAGAGAAUUCCAAAUCGGCUUUGGUGUAUGGGGGUAGGUUGUCCUUGUGUUCUUUGAAAAUGUUAUCCAUAUACUUGUGAAGCCGGAAGAAGCUGGGAUCACGGGUGGCAUUUCGAAGUGUUCCAGCACACCUGGUAGUAAAUCAAACUUUCCAUGAGGAUCCCCUUGACCCUAGUACAAUACGGACUUCAAUUGCGGGGAACCAGUAAACUUCCCAGCCAUAGCACCUGGAAACAUUGUAUAUGUACAAGCAAUGAAGCUCCAUUAC
rnacentral:rRNA from 1 species